AGAGUAGGAAACCGAGCGUUUAUAGUGCCGCAAAGACGGGGAGUUGCUCUGCGGACGAAAUUGCCUGCUGCGAUUAAGGCGGCUUGGCAUGCGGUUCGGUUUUCGCAUCCCGCU
rnacentral:ncRNA from 1 species